CCUACGGGAGGCAGCAGUGAGGAAUAUUGGUCAAUGGGAGAGAUCCUGAACCAGCCAAGCCGCGUGAGGGAAGACGGCCCUAUGGGUUGUAAACCUCUUUUGUCGGAGAACAAAACCCGGGACGUGUCCCGGACUGCGUGUAUCCGAAGAAAAAGCAUCGGCUAACUCCGUGCCAGCAGCCGCGGUAAUACGUAUGGUGCAAGCGUUAUCCGGAUUUACUGGGUGUAAAGGGAGCGCAGGCGGUGCGGCAAGUCUGAUGUGAAAGCCCGGGGCUCAACCCCGGGACUGCAUUGGAAACUACCGAA
rnacentral:rRNA from 1 species